AAAUUGGAGAGUUUGAUCAUGUCUCAGAUUGAACGCUGGCGGCAGGCCUAACACAUGCAAGUCGAGCGGUAGCACAAGAGAGCUUGCUCUCUGGGUGACGAGCGGCGGACGGGUGAGUUAUGUCUGGGAAACUGCCUGAUAGAGGGGGGGUAACUACUGGAAACGGUAGCUAAUACCGCAUAACGUCGCAAGACCAAAGUGGGGAACCUUCGGGCCUCACGCCAUCAGAUGUGCCCAGAUGGGAUUAGCUAGUAGGUGGGGUAAUGGUUCACCUAGGCGACGAUCCCUAGCUGGUCUGAGAGGAUGACCAGCCACACUGGAACUGAGACACAGUCCAGCCUCCUACGGGAGGCAGUAGUGGGGAGUAUUGCACAAUGGGCGCAAGCCUGAUGCAGCCAUGUCGCGUGUGUGAAGAAGGCCUUCAGGUUGUAAAGCACUUUCAGCGAGGAAGAAGGCAGCAAGGUUAUUAACCUUGCUGAUUAACGUUACUCGCAGAAGAAGCACCGGCUAACUCCGUGCCAGCAGCCACAGUAAUACGGAGGGUGCAAGCGUUAAUCGGAAUGACUGGGCGUAAAGCGCACGCAGGCGGUUUGUUAAGUUGGAUGUGAAAUCCCCGGGCUUAACCUGGG
rnacentral:rRNA from 1 species